ACCUCCCCUGCUCUGUGCCAGUGCAGGCCAGGCAGGGGGCUGAGGCCGAGGCCUGGCCAUUGCCCUCCUGGUCACGAUCUGGUGAAGGAUUUGAGUCCAGAAGCCAAACGUCUACAGUCGUGUGGUGCGGACAUGGACACCGGGGUCAGGUGAGGCCACCUUUGGGUACAAAGACGCAAAGAUAAGGGCCGUGCGGACUUGUCCCCAGGAACAGUUCAGGUCAGAAGGUGAGCAAAACAUUUUUACAAUGCUGAAAGAACAUUUCACCUUUGAACUCCAAACCCAGUGAAUCUGUCUGUCAAAAAUAGACCACGCUCGGUGGCCUCCGCCUGUGGACCCAGCAACUCGGAGGCCGAGGCAGGAGGAUCACUUGAGCCCCAGGAUUCAAGGCCAGCUCUGGCAACAGAGCAAGACCUUGUCUAUUAAGCUACAAAAAUAAAUGAACUGGAGGCUGGGCCGAUUGCAGCUGGAAAUUACAAGACAGAGCUGCAGAGACCAGGGAGUGGUGCAGAAGCUGAGCCCAGGAGAUGGCAUGCAGAGUCGCCCCAUGCCUCAAGUCUGCAGGUGAGACAGGAUGUGUCUUUCUGUAGAGCUUCAGCCAUUGAGAGAGAGUGGGGCGGGCAUGAGGCGUGCCAAUAGGUCAAUGAAACAGGAGCGGCCAGAGAGAGACCCAUUCACAGAUGAUGCAAGCAUUUCUGACAGAGGUGUCAAGGUAAUGCAAUGUGAAGAAGGUAGUCUUUUUGGCAAACAAUUUCUGGAAUACUGGAUAAAUGACAGGGGACAAUGGCCUUAAUCUUUACCUACACGACACAAAAAAUUAGCUUGAAACGAACGAUAGGCUUGAAUGUAAAGCUCAAACUAUAAGACUUCCUGCGAAAAACAUUGGAGAAAAUAUCUGUGACCUGGACGUGGGCAAAGAUUUCUUAGACAGGACGCAGAACACAAGAGCUACGAGAGAAAAUGUUUGAAAUUGGGACUUAUUGACAUUAGCAACUCCUGCUCUUGGAAGUAUGCUUUCCAGGAAAUGAAAAGGCAAACCACGCAUUGGGUGACAAUUCCAACACUCUGAGAAAAUUCUUACAAGUCAAUACGAGGACAAACAG
rnacentral:lncRNA from 10 species